CUUUUUAAUCUGAAGAAAUAGACUAAUCUUAUUUUAUUUACUCAGCCCACAGCAGAUUUCAUUCCACCUCGCAAACCAGCCGCACCACCUCAACGCCACCAAUCUCAGCCUCUCUUCCGCCGCUGACCUCCUCCACCGGAGGAGCCGGAACCCUUGUAUACGAGAGCAACGGAGUGCAGUUGGUAAUCUAUUUGGGUUAUUGGAUCAUAUCUGGCUACUGACUUUCAGAUAAGAUGCAGGCAUCAAGAGCAAGGCUAUUCAAGGAGUACAAAGAAGUGCAGAGAGAGAAAUCAGCUGAUCCAGAUAUCCAACUAGUUUGUGAUGAUUCAAAUAUAUUUAAGUGGAAUGCUCUUAUUAAAGGUCCAUCUGAGACUCCUUUUGAGGGAGGAGUUUUCCAGUUAGCAUUUUCAGUGCCGGAGCAGUAUCCUUUGCAGCCACCGCAAGUGAGGUUCUUGACCAAAAUAUUCCAUCCUAAUGUACAUUUUAAGACAGGGGAGAUUUGCCUUGAUAUCUUGAAGAAUGCAUGGAGUCCUGCCUGGACACUACAAUCUGUUUGUAGGGCUAUAAUUGCUCUUAUGGCUCAUCCUGAACCGGAUAGCCCUCUAAACUGCGAUUCAGGUGAAACCGAGAGAGUGAGACAGUAAGCUGAGUCGGAGGCAGAGGAAGGAAGGUGACGAAGAGGCGAUGAGGAAGGAAGGAAGGCAGUGACGACUGACGAAGAGGAAGAGGGCGGCGGAAGAGUAAGGAGUAAGGUGUAAGGACUACGGCAAUCUCCUUCGUUCUGGAGAUAUCAGGGGAUAUCAGUCGAUGGCGAGAAUGUACACUAGGCUUGCAGCCAUGCCCAAGAAGGGAUGAAGUCACAAUUUCCUUGGCUCAUGCAGUUCAUGUUUCCAUGCUAUGUGUAAUUGGACUUCUUACUUUUACUCAAUUAAUUACAGGUGGUGUUGUAAUAAAUUCUAAGGAAGAUGAUCAAUGAUUUUCUGGUAACAGUUUGUGUCCCUACUAGCUCUGCCCUUCGCAGGCAUUUUUUUUGCUUGUUCUUUGAGUAGAUGAGAUGCUUAUCUUGAGCACCCCUCUACCUAGGAGGAGAGCAACAAAGAGUCAAAAAAUUGAGAAACUAAGGGAAAAAGAUGUUCUUUCUUUGAUUUGACUCCAUUGAAUUGUCUUUGUACACAACCAUCAUAUGAAAAAGUAAAACUGGAAUGGCUCUAUCUUAGUAAAACUUGAAUGGCUCUAUC